rnacentral:rRNA from 1 species
GACGAACGCUGGCGGCGUGCUUAACACAUGCAAGUCGAGCGGUAAGGCCCUUUCGGGGGUACACGAGCGGCGAACGGGUGAGUAACACGUGGGUGACCUGCCCUUAGCUCUGGGAUAAGCCUGGGAAACUGGGUCUAAUACCGGAUAUGACUCCAUGACGCAUGUUGUGGGGUGGAAAGCCUUGUGCGGCUAGGGGAUGGGCCCGCGGCCUAUCAGCUUGUUGGUGGGGUGAUGGCCACCAAGGCGACGACGGGUAGCCGGCCUGAGAGGGCGACCGGCCACACUGGGACUGAGACACGGCCCAGACUCCUACGGGAGGCAGCAGUGGGGAAUCUUGCGCAAUGGGCGAAAGCCUGACGCAGCGACGCCGCGUGAGGGAUGACGGCCUC